CUCGUAUUUGUUGCACAUCUGGAAGAUGAGAACUUCUAGAACAUUGCUUUUUACCCUCUGAGUGCAGGGCUGUGCCACCCCGCAGUGGAUUCUGGGAAGAAAGGACCUUGUAACUGAAAUGGACAUUGAGAAGAACCUUGUGAAGAAGUACAGAUGUCUUCCUUCUUGUUUCAUAGGGAUACGUUUGGCAUUAAACUGAAGGCAAAAGAAGAUGCAGACAUCAGCCAAUGGGUUGGGUCCCCCAGCCCUUACAAAGACCACCAUGUGAGCUGCUUCCCUUUGCCACACUCUUCUGCCAUGAUGUCCUGCCUCACCCUUGAGUCCUGAGGAAUGGAGCUGGCUGUCCAUGGACUGAGACCUCUGAAACUGUAAGCCUCUAAAUAAACUUUUUCUUCUCUAUAAUUGUUCUGGUCAGAAAACUGACUAAAACACUGUUCUUUCAACCAUACCACAUUGUCUUGAUUACUGCACUUUAUAGCAGGUCUUGAAGUCAGAUAAUGUCAGUCAUCUGACUUUAUUCUUCUCCUUCAAUAUUGUAUGGGCUCUGCUGGGUCUGUGUAUUAACUUUAGAAUCAGUUUGUUUAUAUCCAUGAAAUAACUGGCAGAGAGUUUGACUGAGAUUGUAUUAAAUCUUUGGAUCAGAUUGGGAAGAAUUGAUAGUUUUACAAUAUUGAGUCUCCUACCCAUGAGCAUGGACUAUCUUUCCAUUUACUUAUUUCUUUGAUGUAUUUCACCGUUGCUUUGUUGUUACCCUCAUAUGAAUGUUGUAUAUAUUUAGUUAGAUACAUACCUAAAUAUAUAUAUCUUUUUUGGGGGGGUUGCCAUUGUAAGGGGUUUUGUGUUUUUAAUUUCAAAUCAUACUUGUUCAUUUCUUGUAUAUCAAACUUGUAUCCUGCAACCUUACUAUGAUUACUUAUUAUUUCCAGGAGUUUGUUGUUGACACUUUUAGAUCCUCUGCACAGAUGAUGAUGUCUCCUGUGUCCAAAGAUAGCUUUAUUUCUGUUUUCCUCACUAGUAUGCCUUUAAUUUUCUUUUCUUAUUGCAUGAUAUAUCUUCAAUAAUUUAACUCUAAACUAUUUGUGUCCUUCUAUUUGGUGGGUUUCUUGUGGACAACUUACAUUGAGUUUUGUUUUUUGAUCACUGACAGUCUCUUUUAAUUGGUGCAUUUAGACUACUGGUGUUUAAAGUUAUUACUAAUAUCUACUAUGUUUGCUAUUGCUUUAUAUUUUAUUGCCUUUGUUAUUUGUUCCAGUUUUUGUAUUCCAAUUUUUCUAUCAUUUAUAGUUUUAAUGGAGCAUUUAAUGUAAUAUCAUUUUCUCUGCCUUCUUAGCAUAAGAAUUAUUUUUCUUUUAAAAACUUUUUUGAUGGUUUUCCUAGAGUUUCCAGUAUGCACUUAGAACUAAUCCGAGUCUGCUUUCAAAUCACACAAUAUUGCUUCAUGAUUAGUGCAGUACCUUAUAACAUAAUAAUUCUAAUUUCUGCUUGCUAUCCCUUUUGUAAUUCUGUUAUUCAUUCAGCUUUUACAUCAAGCAUAUAUACAUUGACAUGUGUACAAAAUAACAAAUACAUUGUUGCUAUUAUGACUUUGAAACAAACUGUUACGUGUAGAUCAAGUAAGAAUAUUAAAAGUUUUCAAUUUUACCUUUGCUUAUUCUCUGUCUUCAUUUAUGUAAAUCUGAGUUUCUGACUUUUCUUCUCUUUAAAGAACUUUUAAAAAACAUUUCUUGUGAUAUAGAUAUACUGGCAACAAAUUCCCUCAACAUUUUUUUAAAGACCAUUAUUUCUUCUUCACCUUUUUUUAAAAAUAUUUUUUGUAUUUGUAGAUGGACAGCAUGACUCUAUUUUUUAAUUUAUUUUAUUUAAUGCAGUGCUUAGGACCAAACACAGUGCCUCACACGUGCUCCCACUGAGCUACAGCCCCAACUCUCUUAAUUCAUUUUUGAAGAAAUUUUUUUCCAGGUGAAGAAUUUCAGGUUGGUGGGUUGGUUUUUCCUUUUUUUUUUCUUGUCUUAACACUAAAUAAUUCUCUCUAACAUCUUGCAUGGUUUCUGAGACAUCGGAAGUAAUUUUUGCCUUUGCUCCUGUAUAGGAAAGGCAUUUUUUUCCUCUGGCUUCUUUGAGAAUUUUUUCCCCCAUAUUUGACAUUGUGUGGUCUGAAUGUGAUAUGGUUUAAACAUGGUUUAAGUGUAGAAGUGAUGUGUGUGUGUGUGUGUGUGUGUGUGUUUGCAUGCAUCAGCUUCCUGGAUCUGUGUUUGGUGUCUGACAUUAGUUUGAGGAAAUUCUUGGUUAUUAUUGCUUCAAAUAUGAUUUUCUCCCGUUUCUCCCCCCGCCCUUUUUGUUAUUCCCAUUAUGUGCAUACAGCACUUUUCAUAGUUGUCCUACAGUCCUUGGAUAUUGUGUUCUACUUUUGUUUCAGUAUUUUUUUUUGUUUGUUUUUCAGUUUUGGGGGUUUCUGUGAAAAUAUCAUCAAAGUCAGAGAUUCUUUCCUCAGUUGUAUUCAGCCCACUAAUAAGUCCAUCAAAGGUAUUCUUCACUUCCAUUAUAGUUUUCAAUCUGUAGCAUUUCUUUUUGGUUAUUAGGAGCCCUAUCUUUCUGCUUACAUUUCCCAUUUGUGAUUAGAACCAUUUGUGUGUGGUCUAAUAUAUCUAUUAGAGCUCUUAAUAUUUUAAUCAUAGUUUUUAAAAAUUCCCAGUCUGACGAUCCCAACAUUUCUGCCAUAUCUGAUUUUGGUGCUUGCUCUGCCUCUUCACACUAUGUGUUUUGUCUUUUAAUAUGCCUUGUGUUUUUGUUUAUUUGUUCGUUUGUUUUUGUUUUUGGUGUUAGCCAGACAUGAUGGACAUGGGAACUGCUGCAACUAGACCUUUAGUGCUAUGGUGGGAAGGUGUGGGGGUGAGGAAGUGUUCUAUCCUUUUCUGUAGGUUGCGGUCUUUAGUCUGUUCCUCUGGACAGUGAAUUUCAGAAAUGCUUCUCAGUUGCUCCUCCUCCUUUAGGUGGGAUGGGAUGGCUUGAAUGGGCUCAUGUUGAAUAUUUCUCUCCUCCCACAUGAAAGGUUAGAGCCUGUUGAAGUUGAGUAUUUUCCUUCCCCAAGGUCUGUUAGGCUCUAAUAAAGCCACACAAAUUAGGCUCAGAUUAAAUAAUUUCUCCUGAGGCCAUGCCCUGGCAUACUUAAAAGUUGUUCCUUCAAAACACAACCUUUUUCUCUCCCCCCGCUUACCCCAAGGCACAUUUUUUUUUUCCUCCAAAAUUCACUGUGAGAACCUGGUAGAUAUCCAGCAGUUAAAAUUCACAAAAUGGGGUCCCUUCAUGGAUUGCAUCCCCCUAAAUGUUGUAACUCUCAGACUUAUCCACAUUGAACUUAUAGAAUUCAUUAAUCAAGGUUUCAGUUUUAUUACGUAAGCUUACUUCCCUUCAAGGUUUUUGAUCGUUGAGUUUCUGCUUUGGGGUGUUGUGAUUCUCUAUAUUCACCUGCUUGUCACUCCAGGUUUUUUUUUUAAAUAUUUUUGUAGUGGUUGAGAGACUUUUAUAUAUUUUUUUAUUUAUUCAUAUGUGGUGCUGAGAAUUGAACAGUGCCUCACACAUGCCAGGCAAGUGUGCUACUGCUGAGCCCCAGCCCCAGCCCCAUGUCAUUCCAGUUUUGAGGGCAGACAUUUGUGCCAUGAGCUCAUCCUUCUAACAGGUCUAAGGAGAGGUAUUGGUUUUUCAGCUUGUUCAGUUUUUUACUUGAUGGUACAUUGAGUUGGUAACUUCCAAGUUGCUAACAUGCUAGACCACUAACUGAAAAUAACUGUUAAGUUUUUUAAAAAAAAUUUAAAGAUAGGUAAUUUUAUGCAAAUACUCUUGAAGAAAAUAGAUAAGUUCUCUUUGACAUUUUUCAGUUGUGGUUUUGAUUUCCACCCCAUAGUUAACGAGUUUAAAGGAUUAUAAGUCAGUUUACUACCAUCACAAGUUAAUCUGAACAAUAGAUGCAAACUAUCUAUUUUGACCAUUGAAUGAUUCUGAUAUUAGUAUAACUGUGCAACGCUCUUAGGUCAUUAGGAGAAAAUCAAUAUGGAGAGUUUGGUGAAGUGGAAAUAUAAACUAUUUUCUACCAGUAGAGUUGUUGAUCUUUCAUUAGCUAGCACUUGACUUCAUAUCAGUUCUUUUUUUUUCUUUUUUGUAUCCUCAAAAUAAAAGUAUCUGAAUUCUGAAAUUUGCUCCAGGGAAAAUAAUUGAAUCUCUUGGGCUGGGGUUGUGGCUUAAGCGGUGGAGUGCUUGCCUGCACAUGUGGGGCGCUAGGUUUGAUCCUCAGCACCACAUGAAAAAAAAGUAUUGUAUUCACCUAAAGCUAAAAAAUAAAUAAUUGAAUCUCUCUUUUUUUUUAGCCAAAUCAGAAUGCUUUCGAUUAUAUUUAUUUAUCUAAGUUUAACAGGCCUGUGACUUUUAAUCCCAUAGGCUACCCACAUGAUAUUCUGACAUUUAUUAUCUUGCUGAAAGGUGAGCAAAGAAGCAGCUUUUCUAUCACUCCAGGGUUUGGGGACUAUUGCUUGGUGACAAUUGGCUUAGCCCUAGUGCUUUUGUGGGUGGUUGUGUUUGUCUAGUCAGAACUAGGGGUACAGAUAACAUCAUUCCCACUCUGCCUGACUGGGCUUGGCCUUGGAUGCUAUCACAGAUGGGGUUGGAAACUUUCACAGUAGAUCACAUCAAUUUAACCAUUAUUUCAAGAUUAUGUCUUUUUUGUUUGAAUAGUUUAGCUCAGAGAUCAUACUUUACAGACCCAUGCUCCUUCUUAACUAAUGUCACUGUCAUUUGGUCCUAUUCUGAUGUCUCUCCCAUAGACAAUGGCUUUUACUGAGUUAUCCUGGGUCUGGUCUCUCCUGAUCCUCACUGAGCUAUUUGUGAGCCCAGGGAGGAUCGCCAAUGAAAUCAUCAAUCCUUGACUAUUGAUUUUAUCUGUGCAAAACAAACCAGAACAGACAGGGAUGGAGCUGUUGACAGAAACUCCUCACUACUGUGCUGGGAAGCAUAGGAUUAAACUGUAUUAGGAUGAUUAAUGUACAGGGCAGGGGCUUCUGUUGGCAUUUAGUUUGAUUCUGGUUAAAUCGUUAGCAUCAGCAUUGUUUGAUAGGAUAAAAUCUCUAAAGUAAUGUCUGUGGAAGUAAAUAGCUGAUUGAUAAAAUACUCUUGAUUGGUCUUUUCAACAAAGUCUCUGAACUACAUCUAGUGGUAGGGCUAGGGUCAGCUGGGUUUCCAACUUCUCAUUAUAAGAUGGUGUUUGUUCCUCACAUCUUAUUUGGCAGCACAAAAGAUUACCUAUGGGUCAGUAGAGCUAAAGCAAUUUAGAAGGUCAAAAUUUAAUACAUUUAGAGAGAAAAGAGCCAAUUUAGAUAAUUUAAGCACAAAGAUUAUUUUCUUUGAGUAUAGAUUGUCCAAGAAGACUCAGAUUCUGUCCAUGGCUAUGCAAUUGUGUUUUGGCUGGCUGGCUUAUAGGUUAUGGUAUCCCCCCCACACCCCUCAAGUAAAAUAUUGACACAAAUGAAUUCAAUGAGCUGAUGAGGAAAGAAGAAUGGGUGGAAAGAUAUUGAGCAGAUUCUGAGAUUCUGUAAACAUCCUGCUGAUUUGGGAGCAUUUGAUAUUUGGGGUGUGAUUUGAUAUCUUCUAAUAGGAAAUGGAAUCAUGGGCAGCCAGGGGAGCACGCCACUCUUGUUCUGUUCUCUUGCUCCUCUCCUUCUCUGAGAGCUAAGGGCUAUGCCUCUGCCACCUGGCCACACAGUGUCAGUGUUCAGCCCAGUGCUCAGGUCUCAGCCAGCUGUGCAUUCUGGUUCUCAUGCGGCCCUUUUUUUUUCUCAGUGAUGCCCCUCAGAAUAGCUGGGACUUACGUGUGCACUCCCUUCCCCAGCACCCGGAAGACAAGCUAGGUGGUCCUAGACCCUAACUACUCCAGUCCAAACCUAAAUAAAAGAGGGGCAGCACCCUGUACCAGCCGAUUACACACUUGAUAUAGGAACUAAGAAACCUGAGCUCUCUUCUCAGUCUGCUCUGGAGUUGGACAGUCAGCUUUCAGAGGGCCGAUGAGUAUGUGUUACACUGCCCUGCUUCUCAUAAGACUAAGCUUUGUCCUUACUGCAACCCUUCUACUUAAAUAAUUCAGGAACAUUGAGCUCUAUGUACUGAGGUUAGGGGAGGCAGUGAAACCUCUGUGGACUGAGCUUCCUAUUUCCCUGUGAAGAGACCUCCUUUAGUGCUUCUCUCCAGGCACUCUCCACCUGGUGAUACAGAAUGGGGCUGUGGAACCAGCUGUGGGUGAAUCAGCUGAGCAUGGGUGUGGUUUCAGGGGGGGGGUCUAGCCUUCACAUGGAGUGUCUUUGGUGCAUUGAUUGAAGCUCCUGGUAAGAGGCUUGCCCUUUGUGCCUUCAUAUCUGUCAGUUAUUGGCUGCGGGGCUGCAGGGUGGGAACUGAGGGCAUUGUGAUUUCCUCAUUGAGGCAAUACCCCUCAGCAGAGGGCAAUUCUCUUGGGAAUUGAGCAGCUGGGAGAAGGGAGCUAACCCUCAGGAAAAUUGGGGAGGAUGUGCUGGCUGGGUGAAAGGGAUCUGAGAAGCAACUAAAUGACAUCUUACACCUCCAUACAAUGCAAUGUCCAAGAGGGCUGGGACUUUUGUUUUGCCUUGUGCUAUAUCUCUAGCACAUAGAAUAGAGCCUGGUACAUAAUGGAUCUUCAAAUAAAUAUCUGUUGAAUGAUGUAAUGAACUUAUUGAACUGGCCCAGGCCGGGUCUCAGGGAUACAAUGAUGAAUUAGCUGUGAGCUAAUGGGAAUUUAGAUACAAGUAAUUAAAACGGUGUUGGUAAGCACUGUCAUGGGAAAAGCAGGGAGGGCUAGGAGCACACAGUAGGGACACUAAAACCCUGAAUUGGGAAGAGUAGGUAUUGCAGGCCUUGUGGUAAGGUGAAGGACUGUGCUUCCCAGUGCAGUUAUUCAUGGUCAGUGGAGGGCAUGUAAAUAAAAUUGUAAACACACCCACAAGAUUGCAGCCUUGCUCUGAAGAUCCCAGUUCUGUUUUGUUUCACCUGUGAUUUCUGUCUCAGAUAAAAUGAUCAAAAGGAGAAAAACCUGAGCUCUAGGACCCUUCACAUCUGUCCCUGGUCUCUUUCCUCAUAUGCACAAUGAAAGGGUUGAACUUGAAUUUCCUUGGGAGCUGACCUGCUUUGAGUCAAGGGAAGGGCAUGUACACUGGGCUCUGCCUGUCUUCUGGUAGGAAGCUUGGAAAUGCCAGACAGGCAAUUAGUACUGCCAACCAGCCAGUAUUCCCUGGCGUCUAGGGAUCCAUUGGGGCAUUUGGAAGUUGGUUGUUUUUCCCCUCUAAAGGCAUCAGUGUCACAUUUGAGUGCUAAGGAGGUAGGUCAGUUUUUAAAAAGAGAACCUGAGUGUGCUGAGGAAAACAAGCAGCUACCACAGUGAUCCUUCUGCCCCACUCAGUACUCAGUAAAGCCUGGUAAUUGAUGAGCUCACCUGUAUGGUCUGGUCCACCUGAGAAAUUCUACACUGGAUGGAUGUGAAUGGCCUUCCUCAAUAUUUUUAAAUUUGUUUUUUGGGAAUGUGUGUGUGUGUGUAUGUGUGUGUGUGUCUGUGCACGCACUCGUGUGCAUGGAUGUACUAGCUAAUGCACAUAUAAUUGGGGAAAAGGCCACAUGAGUUGGCUUGGGGGAAUGUCUUCAACUGAACGUGAGUUUUAAUGUUGGAUAGUCAUGUGCCCGUUAGACAUUUCCAUAAUUCAUCUUGGAAAAUGGAAAAAAAAGGAACUUAGGUAAAAUAUAAAGGCAUUAUUGAAAUGUCAUAGAGUAGUUACAUAACAUUGAUUAUAUAAAGCCUGAGGGUAGGGGCAGGAGAGGAUUUAUUAUUCAGAAACUUCUAGUAAUUUGAAGACAUUCAAAAACAUCAGUGUUCUCAUGCAUUAUCAUGUUUGUUGCUAAUUUUUGGCAGGACAUUUUUUUGAAGGAUUUUAGUUCUUUUGAGUCUCAAGUCAACUUGAGCCUAGGGGUGGGUCUCUGGCUCAAUAUCUUACCUCUGCCCCAUUCUUGUGCUACUUUUUAACCCCUGGACGGGUGCUCUUGAUUGGCUGCUGCCUUUCCCACCCCUUGGAACACUGGCCUUGAGGUCUGCCAUGUUUAAUGGGACCCACCCUGCUAGAUUAUUUUCUGGUUUUGUGCUUGAAUUACUCUAGCUUCAGAGCUCUGAUUGAAGGGGUAUAAUAUGUCAGAAACCAGGUGGUUUGAUUUACCAGAUAUUAAUUUUUUUGCAAGAUGAUAGUUCUUUAAAAGGAGAUACUCCCUGAAUACUAGUUAGUCAUAAAAUAUACUUAUGUAAGCUUGUAUAAUGUUAGAAUACAUGCAAAAAUUGAGACUGGUGCAUACUGCCAUGGCUCACUUAUUAAUUAAACACCAAUGUAAAUAACAAUAUCGUGGUGUGUUGGCAGGAGCUGUGUCAGGUAGUAGGAGAGGCUGGUUUCUGGUAUUGCUUGGUCACAACCUGUGGCAAGUAGCAUGGCCUGGCUUGAUUUCAGUUUCUCCACAGAACUAGAUCAUCUUUAAGGAUCCUUCUAACUCUGUGAGCAAAGCCCAAGGUUAUGUAGCUGAAAAGCUUUGCCAAAGCAGCAAGAUGUGUGUUUUCAUUCAGGUAUCUUAAAUUCAUCUCCCUGAACUUUGGGUCAAAUCUUGACUUGUGAAAAAUGAAACCAAAUAGCAAAGGCUCCAGCUUAUCAGACACCCUAACUUAAUUUUGAUCAAAUGUUGUUUUUCUAUGAAAUUGAUUACUAAGAUAAUAAUAUGCUUGGGUGAAGGGUAUUGGCUCUAGACAAAGGGAUUGCUUUUUAGCCUGGCCAGUUCUUGAGAGGGAAAGCUGAUAUUGUCAUCAGAACCGUGGUGCAUUCUCCCUUGGGAAGCUCGCUGCCAUAUAAGCCAACACAUACAUGGAAGUUUAUGCUGGAAUCAGUCAGACAUGUUCAUGUAUUUCCAUUUUCUUUUUUUUUAUUAGUUACACAUAACAGUACAAUGAUUUGACAUAUCAUACAUUUGAAUCAAAUGGAGUAUAAUUUCUCAUUUUUCUGAGUGUACAGUUUGCAGAAUCACAUUGGUCAUGCCGUUAUGCAUAUAUACACAGCAAUACUAGUGUCUAUUUUAUUCUGCUGUCCUUCCCUUCCCCCCUUCCCCUCCCCUCCCCUCCUAUCACUUCUCUCUACCCAAUCUAAUGUGACACACUUCUUUCUUUUUUUUCCCCCUCAUAUCAUCAUACAUGUAUUCUGUAUAACAAUGAGGGUUUCCUUCCAUUUUCUUAAGCAAAACCCAACCCAUGUGGAAAUUGUCAUAUUUGAAUUGUUUUCCUUUUCAGAGGGAAGGUAUGCAAUACUGGACAAAGGGAGAAAGGCUUUUUCAGGAAAUGUUCUGUCUUCUUUUUGUAGGGAAGAACCCACUUCUGAGGCAGAACUGUCAUCAAAUGUCAUUCGUAUUAUGACCCAUCUCAUAAACAAAACUCUUCCCCUUUGCAGAUAGGUGCACUGAUGAGGUGAUGGCCAGUCAGGAUUACUUAAUGUCUCAUUACACUAAGAGACACCUUUAGGGCUAUUAGCUGUUAGUUACACUAAGCAGAAUGAAACAGAAAACUGGUAGAUCUAGGAGGAUUUGCAUGUUUUGCCCUUCACAGUCAUUUAAAAGAAGUUCCAUAGUGGUAGAGUAGUUAGAAUGGGUUAGUUAUUUGAGUUAUUCCAUCAAUCCUAGAUCAGAAUUGCCUGAUCUUGCAUGGACACUGCAAUUGGAAUGGGCAGAACUCAGCUGACCUGCUGCUAGGGAAACAGCCUCUGUUCAUGUGGUUAUUUCCAUAGGCGGGUUUAAGCUACACAUAAGAACAUUUCAUACAAUUUCAGAUUUGUUUGUUUGUUUUGCAACAUGAUAAAUUGGAUAUGAAGAAAUAAUUAUUGUAGUUUAUUUGAUGGUAAGUGAGCCUUAGCUCCCUCGUAGCCAUUCAUUCACGGCUACUGCAAGAUGAGAUGACCCUGGCACGCUGGGGGUUAAUGUACUACAAGAGAGGGAGCAAUUUUCUAUCACCUCAUAAGGAGAAAAAGACUCAGUAAUGGAUUUUACUUCCCUCCUUGAUUUAUUAGAUUUUACGGAAAAUUUAACGUGGUAUGUCCUUUGUAGCAAAUCACUGAAUGAAGGCAUUUCACUUUGAGGAAAUCCUAUACACUAAAAAAGGAAUUCAGCAAUUAAGUAAGGAAAAAUUCACAUGAGCAAAAGUUUCAUUUUACUUUACAAAAGGCUCUUUUAAUGAGCCAAUUCCAGUGCUUUAAAAAGAACAUGCUAAGUGAGGAACAUAGCCUGUUUCCUGAGUAAUGACUUCAGGUAAAUUGACACAAACACAGCCAAAUGUUCUGGAUGCCCAGCAGGACCUAGAAGAAUCAGCUAAUUUAUAAUUAUAAUGCCCAUGUGCCCUGGCAGCAAACUUUCCACCCUCUUGAAUGCAAAAUUGUACUUUAGUUCUCAGGAAGGUUUUCUUCUUUUUCUUUUUUCUUUUUUUUAAUCCCUUUUUUUCUUGCUACCUCUUUGCCUUAGACAAGAAGCUCUUUGGGUAACACCUUUUUAUUUAUGAGGAAAAAAAAACAUUUUAAAUCUUUUAUUUUUUGUUUAAGUUAGUUUUUUACCAGAGAAGAAGGGGUCAUGUACGGUAUGUUCAUGGAGACUAAAUUAACUAAUGGAGUUUCACUGUCGGUUGAGUGUUCUGAGGAAAUAUUUGGGAACUGAACUUAUAAACAGAAGUCCAGUGUUCAGGGCCCUAGAGAAAUAAUGAUGGCUCCUGCCCACUGAACAUUUUGUGCUGUGGGUCAAGCCAAAGGUGAGAGAAGAGGGAAAGAGCCACAGGGUUUGUCAAAGUUGGGGCUAUGUUUGGACCAACCUGAUUGUGUGGUAUUUUUCUUCUAAGUUAUGAUAUGUGCAAGUUGUUAUUUAGAACAACUGAUGAAAUCAUCUAAUAAAUAUGUUUGUGGAUGAUUGGGUGGGCUAUUAAGGGAAAUCCAGAGCUGGGUUUGAAGUUGUUUUAAGACCACUGGACCCUGCCUGGAAUGAGGGUUGCAAAUUGCUUACAAGAACCACCAUCUGACUGGAGCUCUUUCUACCACUGAAUUUAAGACCCUGAAGGAUUUUUUUUUUUUUUUUUGGUACUGAGGGUUGAACCCAGGGGCACUUAACCACUGAGCCACAUCCCCAACCCUUUUAAAAUAUUUAUUUAGAGACAGGGUCUCUCUGAGAUGCUUAGGGCCUCAUUAAGAAGGUUUUCUUAGUGAGAAGCUGAGUCUGCCUUUGAACUCACGAUUCUCCUGCCUCAGUCUCCCGAGCUGCUGAGAUUAUAGGCGUGCACCACCAUGCCAGGAUUUUUAAAAUCAUUAUUUUAAAAUGGUAAAUUACAUAGACAUGCCAAUCAGGAUAAACAAAUAGGCUUGUAAAAAAAAACCAGAGUACUAGUGUCUCUUGCUAAAAUGAGGAGGAGGAGGAGGAAGGAGAAAAGGGAAGAGGGAAGGAAGAAGACAGUUUAGAAAUUCUGAAUAUGCUUUUUUUAUAAUACACUAGGCUUUUAAUUGUUGACUAUUUGGUGUGUGUGUGUGUGUGUGUGUGUGUGUGUGUGUGUUAUCUCCUCUUACUUGAAGUGAUCAGGGAGCCAUCUGAAGAAUCAGGAUGAUUUUUUUAUAGCAGCAAACAUUCUAACUUUUGUUUGUUGUGUGCCCAGGAAGCAGAGAACAACAAAGCAUGGCCCUUGUCUUCUGUCUUCACAGGUAUCUAUUCCUUCCUUUCUAUUUCCUUAUUUAGUCUGAAUUUUAAUAUGUAAUAUUCAAGUGGCCUCAUAAAGCUCAUUUCCUUCUAGUGAGAUUUUCCAGAAAGCCUACUGUUGUUCAUUGGAAAAUACCCAAUUGGUGGUGUGGCCCUUUAACUUUACGUGCACCUAAAAGCCCAGCAUCUGCUUCUGGUCAGCUGGAUCUAUGUAUGCCCCUGGACCUUUACUCUUCCCUUUAUAUGAAUAUACUUCUAUAUUCAUAUAAAACAAGUAAAGACAAAAUUUUACUUCUUAGGAGCCAUUCGUUGAAUAAUUGGUAUGUUAUUUUCAUUCUUGCAGAAAUGGAUUGUAACUGUUGCUUAGAAUAGGAAACUGGUAAAAACUGACUUUGAAAUGACAGUUACAUAGAAACAUUGUUUAAAAAAAAUCACA